UACGUAGGGGGCAAGCGUUGUCCGGAAUUAUUGGGCGUAAAGCGCGUGUAGGCGGCCAGAAAAGUCCGCUGUGAAAACUCGAGGCUCAACUUCGAGCUGUCGGUGUAAACUUUCUGGCUAGAGUCCGGAAGAGGAGAAUGGAAUUCCUGGUGUAGCGGUGAAAUGCGCAGAUAUCAGGAAGAACACCCGUGGCGAAGGCGGUUCUCUGGGACGGUACUGACGCUGAGACGCGAAAGCGUGGGGAGCGAACAGG
rnacentral:rRNA from 1 species